rnacentral:rRNA from 1 species
GAUGAACGCUGGCGGCGUGCCUAAUACAUGCAAGCCGAGCGAACAGACGAGGAGCUUGCUCCUCUGACGUUAGCGGCGGACGGGUGAGUAACACGUGGAUAACCUACCUAUAAGACUGGGAUAACUUCGGGAAACCGGAGCUAAUACCGGAUAAUAUAUUGAACCGCAUGGUUCAAUAGUGAAAGACGGUUUUGCUGUCACUUAUAGAUGGAUCCGCGCCGCAUUAGCUAGUUGGUAAGGUAACGGCUUACCAAGGCGACGAUGCGUAGCCGACCUGAGAGGGUGAUCGGCCACACUGGAACUGAGACACGGUCCAGACUCCUACGGGAGGCAGCAGUAGGGAAUCUUCCGCAAUGGGCGAAAGCCUGACGGAGCAACGCCGCGUGAGUGAUGAAGGUCUUCGGAUCGUAAAACCCUGUUAUUAGGGAAGAACAAAUGUGUAAGUAACUAUGCACGUCUUGACGGUACCUAAUCAGAAAGCCACGGCUAACUACGUG